AUUGAACGCUGGCGGCAGGCCUAACACAUGCAAGUCGAACGAGUGGCGGACGGGUGAGUAAUGUCUGGGGAACUGCCUGAUGGAGGGGGAUAACUACUGGAAACGGUAGCUAAUACCGCAUACCAUCGGAUGUACCCAGAUGGGAUUAGCUAGUUGGUGGGGUAACGGCUCACCAAGGCGACGAUCCCUAGCUGGUCUGAGAGGAUGACCAGCCACACUGGAACUGAGACACGGCCCAGACUCCUACGGGAGGCAGCAGGGGGGAAUAUUGCACAAUGGGCGCAAGCCGGAUGCAGCCAUGCCGCGUGUAUGAAGAAGGCCUUCGGGUUGUAAAGUACUUUCAGCGGGGAGGCGUUACCCGCAGAAGAAGCACCGGCUAACUCCGUGCCAGCAGCCGCGGUAAUUC
rnacentral:rRNA from 1 species